rnacentral:rRNA from 1 species
AACGCUGGCGGCGUGCAUUACCAAUGCGAGUCGAACGCGCCGUGCUUCGGCAACGGAGGGCGGUGAGUGGCGGCCGGGUGCGUAACACGUGGGUAACCUACCCAGGCGUGGGGGAUACCCGCCCGAAAGGGUGGCUAAUCCCGCAUGGGCUGGCUGGCCUCGCUCGUUUGUCGAGCGGGGGGAGGCAGCAAAGCCGGGCGGGCUUGCGCAAGCAGGCGGGCCAGGCGCGCGUGGAGGGGCCCGCGGCCUAUCAGCCAGGCGGUGGGGUAACGGCCUACCGGGGCGAUGACGGGUAGCCGGUCUGAGAGGACGGACGGCCACACUGGGACUGAGACAUGGUCCAGGGCCCUACGGGGUUUAGCAUGGAGGGAUCUUGCGCAACGGCGGCAGCGCCGGCGCAGCAACGCCGCGUGGGGGACGAAGGCUCUUGGGUCGUAAACCCCUGUUGCCCGGGAAGAAGUACCCGCCGGGGGCACCGGUGGGGAAGACGGUACCGGGCCAGCAAGCCCCGGCUAACUACGUGCCAGCAGCCGCGGUAAGACGUAGGGGGCGAGCGUUAUCCGGAUUUAUUGGGCGUAAAGGGCGCGUAGGCGGCCUCCAGCAGUGGCGCGUGGAAUCUCCCGGCUCACCUGGGAGGGGCCGUGCCAGACGGGGGGGCUCGGGGCCGGCAGAGGAGCGUGGGACGGGCGGAGUAGGGGUGAAAUCCGUAGAGCCCGUCCGGAACACCAAAGGCGAAGGCAGCGCUCUGGGCCGCGCCCGACGCUGAGGCGCGAAAGCGUGGGGAGCGAACGGAAUUAGAUACUCCGGUAGUCCACGCCCUAAACGAUGGCCACUCGGUGUCGGGGGUAUUGACCCCCCCGGUGCCUCAGUUAACGCGGGAAGUGGCCCGCCUGGGGACUACGGCCGCAAGGCUAAAACUCAAAGGAAUUGACGGGGCCCCGCACAAGCAGCGGAGCGUGUGGAUUAAUUCGAUGCAACGCGCAGAACCUUACCUGGGCUUGACAUGCGCCUGGUACCGACCGGAAACGGGAGGGACCCGCAAGGGAGGGCGCACCGGUGCUGCAUGGCUGUCGUCAGCUCGUGCCGUGAGGUGUUGGGUUAAGUCCCGCAACGAGCGCAACCCCCGCCCCUAGUUGCGGUUUCUAGGGGGACUGCCGGGCGAACCCCGGAGGAAGGUGGGGACGACGUCAAGUCCGCAUGGCCCCUACGUCCAGGGCGUCACACACGCUACAAUCGCCGGCACAGCGGGAGGCCACCGCGCGAGCGGGAGCCAAUCCCCCAAACCCGGCGCCAGUUCGGAUCGCAGGCUGCAACCCGCCUGCGUGAAGCCGGAGUUGCUAGUAACCGCGCGUCAGCACAGUGCGGUGAAUGCGUUCCCGGGGCUUGUACACACCGCCCGUCACACCACGAAAGCCGGCAGGACGCGAAGGCGCUGGGCUAACCCCCAGGUCCCCUCGGGGGCCCGGGGGCGGCAGGCGACGAGCGUCAGGCGGGUGAUUGGGGUGAAGU